UCUCCCUCGCGCGCGACGCCCCCGCUCGCCUCUCUCUCGCGCGCGACGCCGGCCACCAGGCGCCUCUCUCUCUCGCGCGCGACGCCGCUCUCUCCCCGUUGAUGCUCCCUCUCUCUCCCUCUCGCCGGCAUCUUGCUCCGCAUCGCCGCUCACCGCUCCCCACCACACAAAGCUGCCAUUUUUAUUUGUCGGCGACGGCUGCUGGGCGAGGAGGAGCUGGAUCCACAUGCGCUGGUCCUCGAUCUGCUUGUGGAUAGGCGUGAGGAGUCGCUGAAGCGGAGCCCAAGCGGCACCGGCGCGGGCGUGAAGACGACGGCGGGAGGAUCUGGAGCCCGAGCGGGAGGAUCUGGAGCCGCAUCUCAAGUACUCCGGCGACACAACGGCGCUUGAUGUGGAGCCCCACCGGCGCCGCUGCCGGUGGUGGGGCACCAGUUCUGCGCGCCCUACGUGGUGCCGCUGACGGUGACCAAGAAGGCGCUCAGCCUCUCCGACGGCGACUUCGCCAUCACCGAUGCCAACGGCGCCGUCGUGCUCAAGGUCAAGGGCGCCAUCUUCAGCAUCCGGAGCUGCCGCACCAUCCACGACGGCGCUGGGAUGCCCCUCCUAACCAUGCAAGAAAAGAUUGUUUUAAAGAAGGGCUAUUGAAAAAAGAUGUGUGAGGGCAUCAGUCACUCUCAUGCCGGCAUGCCGCACUUUCAGCUAGCAGGUGAAAGAGACCCUCUUAUGGGAAUAAUGGAGUACAGAAAUGAUAGUGAGUUCAAAGUAAGGCUGAGGUAAAAUUUUCGGAGGCCAUGCUCUAUGUUUUACCACUACCCUUCUUGGUAUUCAUGCUCCUGAUAUUCAUACUCCUAUUCCUACUCAAUUUUACCUGAAAUGAGAGUAGCAAUUAUUUUUGCCCAUUAAUUCAUACUCCUACUGAUUUGGAGUACUGAUGAAACUAAGAAGUCCAAACCUGUGCUAAAUUGACAGUACAUGCUCAUUUUUUGUAUUGACAGUACAAGUCCAAACUUGUAUUGACAGUACAUGUUCUAC